UCUAUGUUGUGGGUGCGUGCAUUUGUGUUGUCCGGUGUUUGAAGACGCUUGGAAUUCGCUUUCAAUUUCUUCAUAGGAAAAAUGUCGGGUGAUACCGAUAAAGCAAAAAUCAGUGACAAUCAGGAUGAAGACAAGAAAUCUGGUGCAGGCGAUGGCCAGACAACAGAAGAUGAGUCCUCACAGGAUUCUAAGGGUGAGUCGCUGACAAUCGCUGACUGCCAAGAGCCGGAGGUCCAAGGUAACACCGAUGUAGAUCACGAGGACAAGCAGCAAGGUGACGCAAAGUCAACGACAGCAAAUGGCAAAGAAGACGACGGGCCCGCUGAUGACUCUAAGGAUGAAAAGGAUGAAAAAACCGACGGAGACUUUAAAAAGGAAGAAAAUGGUGAAACUCAUGAGGAGAAUGAGAAAGAAGAUUUAAAAGAAAACGAUAAAGCAGCUAAGAAAGUAGUUCCGAAAAAGAAACCCAAGAAAGAGGAUACUGAGGAAGAAGAAGAGGACGAAGAAGAGGAAGAAGAGGAGGAGGAUGAGGAGGGGGAGGAGGUUGACGAAGAAGAAGAGAAAAAACCUAAAGACAAAGUAAAGAAACCAGUAAAGAAGGUUAAAGAAGGCGACGAUGAAGGCGAUGACGAGGAGGAGGGAGAAGAGGAGGGCGAAGAGGAGGAGGAAGAGGAAGAAGAAGAGGAGGAGGCACCUAAGCCCAAACCUAAGAGAGAGCCAACAGAACCUCCCGUUCCUCUGCCAGCCGGUAAGGGCAUACCUCUUGGACACAUCAGCAAUGUCGAAGUUUCACUGUCUCGGUUCAAAACUCAAGAUCAGAAAAUACUUCACCAGUAUCUCUAUGGGCAACUCUGUUUGGACCGCAACGUGAAACGCAACAUAAAGAAGUUCAAAGGUUACGAGUGGGCCAUCGGCUCCACGGAAUACAAGGCUAAGCUCGAGGAGACGGCUAAGAUGGAGCUCAAGCAACUCAGGACAAUGUGUGAAAUGCUCGACUUAGACAAAAAAGGCGGCGCGAGCGAGCUGGCAGCGCGCCUGGUGGGCUUCCUGCAGCAGCCCACCGCCAACUCGCCGCACGCGCGGGGCGUGGCGCGCGCGCCCGUGGCGGCGCAGCCCACCUCCGCGCCCGGCGGCCGCCCGCGCCGCUCCGCCGCCGUCAAGAUACACAAUAGAGGUUACUCGGACGAGGAGUACGAAACCGAUCCAGAGACGAAGGUCAAGGGGCCGAAGCCGGCGAAGGAUGGCUCGGAGGAUUCCGAUCAGGGCUCCUUCAACCCGAGCGGCUCGGAGGCGGACUCCGACUUUGACCCGGAAGCCGGCGAGGGCGCCAGCGGGCCGGGCCGCAAGCGUAAGAGCUCCGGACGACGUCGCUCCGCCGGCAAGCCCGGCAAGCGGGGAAGGAAGGGCAAAGGCAGGAAGGUAAAGGGAGCAAGCAGAGGUCGCGGUCGGAAGGCAAAGUCGGAGAGUGACGAUGAAAGCGACAAGUCUGAGAGUGAAAGCGAGGGAGAGUCCGGCAGUGACGCGGAAGAAUCCGAUCAGGAGCCGAAGUCGAAGCGCGGGCGACCGGCGGGCGCGGUGGGCAAGGGCCGCAAGGGCGCCGUGGCCAAAGCCAGCGCCAAGGCCACGCCCGCCAAGCGGAAAGCUCCCACGCCGCCAGGUAAAAAGAAGGGUGGUGCCAAGCCAGUGGGUCGACCGGCCAAGAAGGGUAAGAAGGCGUCGUCUGAAGAAUCCGGAGAGGGCAGUGAGGAAGAAGAGGAGGAGGAGGGUAGUGAGGAGGAGGAGAGCGGAGAGGAGUCUGAUACGCCAGCGGACAAGAAGGCUAAACGGCCGCCUACUGACGAGGAGAUUAAGAAGUACGUGAAGCAGAUCCUCGAGGGAGCAAACCUCGAGCAGAUCACGAUGAAGACGGUGUGCAAGCAGGUGUACAGCCACUACCCGGACUUCGAUCUCGCGCACAAGAAGGACUUUAUCAAGGCAACAGUCAAAUCGUGUAUUUAAGAUGUUUAGGAGUUAAGGGCGGAGUGUAGAUGUCUACGUAGCAUACCUAUAGUUUAUAAACGGACAUAGUUAUAUAUUAUUACAAUAAUAAUAUAUUAUGAAAAAAAAUUAUUAUCUGAAAUGAAGUGGAAUGGAUAAACUCCCGCUUUUCUUUUCAAGCUCAUAUCAUCGUGAGCGGUGACCUCGGCCGCAAAUAUUUAGCAAAGUAAGCUACACCACGUUAAGUUAGACUAAUUGUGACCCGCGUCCCGCUGAGUCCCGCUGAGUCCCGCUGAGCUCGCGGCGCGGUCCGUCUCAUAUUUGUGUUGUAAUUUAUUUUGAUAAAACUUGUAGUGAAUGUAAACAAUUAAUAUUAAAAUUAUUAUAACUAACCACACGUAGAUGCUUAUUGCAGUUACGACUGAAGGAGAUUUCACGUAUGAAUGUCGCCAAGACUUAAAAAUAUUGCAUUCUGAGAAGUUUGUUUACAUUUUCAAACAAGUUAUAUUAAAAUAUAAACAUAGACUAAGGAUAAUCCGCGAGAAGCCAACUCGUUUCUUUUUUAUUUAAUCCACUGUUGUUUUGUGAACUAUUUUUGUAUACUUUGUUAAUGAAGCUCGACUUAUAAUAUAUGGUUUGUACUUUAUAUAGUAUUGUUUAACGGAUGAGUACCGCGUCGGGACCACUGUUUCGUUUCUAGAGCUAUUUAACUGUAAUUUUCAUAUUUUUAAGCAUCGAAUAUUGUACAAAUUCAGCAAAUUCGAUUCGGCUUCAACAGACAUACGACUACGUAAUUAUUCGCCUAGUAUCGUAUCAUCAUAAUGUAAUUGUAUGUCUGUGUAUAUUAAAAAGAAAAUGUUGUUAAUUGGUUUUAAUGGUGUGGAUUGUAAGAUUAUUUUUCUAAUGUAGGCUGUAAACUAUAUUAUUUGCAGUCGAAGCACUAUCGCAAAACUUAUGUAAGGUUUGGUUAAGUGUACUUUUAAGAUGUGUAAAUACACAGGACUGCACCGUUUGGGAACCGCGCUUCGCUAACAUCGGAUUAGGGUUAUGAUAAAGUAAAAAUUAUUCUUAUACAAAACUUUUUGGUCUAGCCCCGGGUUGAAGCGGAACUUUAGAUUUUUUUUAUACGUUCUGAGCACUUUUUUUUUUUAAUUUUUUUGAUAUAAAAUGUUCCCUAAAUUAUAUAACGCAGCUAUAAUUGUAUAAUGAAAUAAUUUAAUUAACGAUUUGUGCAAUAAUGUUAAUCAACUUCUAUUAAAUAUAUAAAAAAUGUACACAGCGCAUCCGAGCUUAUCAAAGUAUAAUUUUAUACUUUUCGAUUUGUAAAAUUUUCAUAUUAUUUUGUUUAAUUUAAGGUGCUUAAAUAGCAUUUGAUAUAUUUUCUCUAUGUGUAACUUGUGGCCGAACUGUCGCUAAGUCCGUGGGUGAGCUAACAUUCUAGGUUUAAAUGGUCUGAACGCAUCUAGACUUCAAUGCAACGCCUUCCCGUACGGAGACUGCGUAAGUCUGUUCGUAGUCUCUACAGCAACGCGUUGCUCGUUUACGUCGUAUAUCACUGCUAUUAGUUUAUUCUAAUAGAAUUAUUAUUGAUUGGUUAUGUUUUGUUCGCUCCACAUAAAACUCUCGGUGCGUUCAAACCGAUUAAUUAUAAGAUAGUUUUAAUCAACAUUAAAUGUGUAUUUGUGAAUUUUAACCUUAUUUUUGGUUGUUUCUUUAUAUUGUGUAAAUGGCUGAGAUCAGUAGAGACGUAGUGACACGGAGUGAUAGAGUGACUGGUUCCCCCUUUUACAAUUGGAAUAUAGAUAAUAAAGCAAAUAAAAGUUUGAAAUGUC